rnacentral:rRNA from 1 species
AGAGUUUGAUCCUGGCUCAGAUUGAACGCUGGCGGCAUGCCUAACACAUGCAAGUCGAACGGCAGCACAGUAAAGAUUUCGGUCUUUAUGGGUGGCGAGUGGCGGACGGGUGAGUAACGCGUAGGAAUCUAUCCUGGAGAGUGGGAUAACCCGAGGAAACUCGGGCUAAUACCACAUGAAAUCGAGAGAUCAAAAGCAGGGGACCGAAAGGCCUUGCGCUCUGGGGUGAGCCUACGUCGGAUUAGCUAGUUGGUGGGGUAAAGGCCUACCAAGGCGACGAUCCGUAGCUGGUCUGAGAGGAUGACCAGCCACACUGGGACUGAGACACGGCCCAGACUCCUACGGGAGGCAGCAGUGGGGAAUCUUGGACAAUGGGGGCAACCCUGAUCCAGCGAUGCCGCGUGUGUGAAGAAGGCCUUCGGGUUGUAAAGCACUUUAGGUGGGGAAGAAAGGUAACGAGCGAAUAACUCGUUGCUAUGACGGUACCCGCAGAAUAAGCACCGGCUAACUCUGUGCCAGCAGCCGCGGUAAU